rnacentral:rRNA from 1 species
CUGCCAAGAUUAAGCCAUGCAUGUCUAAGUAUAAGCAACUAUACGGUGAAACUGCGAAUGGCUCAUUAAAUCAGUUAUCGUUUAUUUGAUAGUACCUUACUACAUGGAUAACCGUGGUAAUUCUAGAGCUAAUACAUGCUAAAAACCUCGACUUCGGAAGGGGUGUAUUUAUUAGAUAAAAAACCAAUGCCCUUCGGGGCUCCUUGGUGAAUCAUAAUAACUUAACGAAUCGCAUGGCCUUGCGCCGGCGAUGGUUCAUUCAAAUUUCUGCCCUAUCAACUUUCGAUGGUAGGAUAGUGGCCUACCAUGGUAUCAACGGGUAACGGGGAAUUAGGGUUCGACUCCGGAGAGGGAGCCUGAGAAACGGCUACCACAUCCAAGGAAGGCAGCAGGCGCGCAAAUUACCCAAUCCCGACACGGGGAGGUAGUGACAAUAAAUACUGAUACAGGGCUCUUUUGGGUCUUGUAAUUGGAAUGAGUACAAUUUAAAUCCCUUAACGAGGAACAAUUGGAGGGCAAGUCUGGUGCCAGCAGCCGCGGUAAUUCCAGCUCCAAUAGCGUAUAUUAAAGUUGUUGCAGUUAAAAAGCUCGUAGUUGAACCUUGGGCCUGGCUGGCCGGUCCGCCUCACCGCGUGUACUGGUCCGGCCGGGCCUUUCCUUCUGGGGAACCUCAUGCCCUUCACUGGGCGUGUUGGGGAACCAGGACUUUUACUUUGAAAAAAUUAGAGUGUUCAAAGCAGGCCUUUGCUCGAAUACAUUAGCAUGGAAUAAUAGAAUAGGACGUGUGGUUCUAUUUUGUUGGUUUCUAGGACCGCCGUAAUGAUUAAUAGGGAUAGUCGGGGGCAUCAGUAUUCAAUCGUCAGAGGUGAAAUUCUUGGAUUGAUUGAAGACUAACUACUGCGAAAGCAUUUGCCAAGGAUGUUUUCAUUAAUCAGUGAACGAAAGUUAGGGGAUCGAAGACGAUCAGAUACCGUCGUAGUCUUAACCAUAAACUAUGCCGACUAGGGAUCGGACGGUGUUAGUAUUUUGACCCGUUCGGCACCUUACGAGAAAUCAAAGUUUU